GGCCAGGUAGCUCAGUCGGUAGAGCAGGGGACUGAAAAUCCCCGUGUCGGCGGUUCGAUUCCGUCCCUGGCCA
rnacentral:tRNA from 1 species